GGGCCAUCUUGCUGUAGGGCCGGCGGGGCUCUGCCCGUGGUGCGGAGCCAGAGGGGCGGGUGGCGCCUGCCUGCUAGAGAUAUAGAGCCGGGCUGGAAACGCUCUGUAUGAAGUGGAAGUUUUCAAUGAUGACCAAUAUAUUGUACAGAAGCAGUAAGCCCUUCAUGGAAACACCAUCAGAGCUAGAAGAAUAUAUGGUACACACUAGUGGAUUUUCUUGAAAGCUGUCUUUUGAAUAAUUUGCGGGGAUACAUUAAUAUGAAUGACAUAUGAGCAGUUUUGAAUAAUGGGAAAAUUCAUUAUGAUAGAUUUUCUUGUGACAGCAGGAUUUCCUGGUACAACAGAUAGAGAGAUGCUUGAAGGCUGCUGCUGGAAGGUAUGAAUUCCAAUAAAUGGUAUGAUUAAAUUAAAAAGGUUGUUCUGUUGGAGUAAUGCCCAAAACCAUUGGUAUGUUUGAUCAGUGAAGAACCUGUCUUAAACCUGAUUGCUUGAUGAAAAACACAUCUCUGAUUUGAGAUUAGCGUACUAGAAUUCCUGAACAGGUGAAAUAUUGAUGAUAGACUUCAUGGUUCUUGCAUACCUUAAACUCAGUGAAUUUGUUUUAAAUGUCUAAUGGCUAUUUCUAAAUGACUGCUCUUAAAACUGCAUUGUCAUGUCAACCCUGUUUAAAAGUACAAGGUGACAUUAAAAAAAAUCUAUUUAAAAUGGCAUAUUUAAAACAUAGUGGGGUUUGUGUAAAUGUGUAUCAUGGAAAACAGUGAAAUGUUUCAUCAUCUAUCUUGGUGUUAAACUUAAGUUCUAUCAGUUCCGGUUCAAAAUGAGAUACCCAAUUUCCCUGUUGAUCACAGGAGAAUCCUGUGUGGAAGAACGUUGUCUGGAUGUAAUUUCUUAUGUAAAGCUUGCCUGUUGAUAGAUUUUUAGCUUUUUCUGGAUUUUUUAAUGCUUUGAUACAAGCUGAGAACCAGGUAUUAGCUAAUUCAGAAAUCAAGCCUUUGAGUUUUGGUACAGGGAGACUGAGACUUGACUGGUUAGUUGCCUUUCACAGUUUACAGCCAAGUUAAGCAGUAGCCAGGCAAGAGAUGCAAGAAGACUCUUACUGUGGUAUGAGAACAUUUCCAGUUUGUUUUAUGGAACUUGUGGAGUACUGAUUCUAAUCCAGUACAUGUUUAAUAAUGCAGUUUGGUCUGUGAUCUUCUAUAUAGAUAGGAAGUUGUGUUUGGAGUGAUGGAAGAAAAUCUCUAAACUAAUAUAUUUCUCUUUUCAGGCAUGGAAUUGGCCCAAACCAUAUGAACAAAUGCUUUUAGUUUGUUCAGUGAUGAGUUGGAACAUUUUUGUCAGUGCUGCCUGACAAAUGUGGAUGAUCUGUAACUGGAAGAAAGUGUAAUGUCUGAAGAGCUUUUCUCGCCUGGAGUGGGACCAUGCUUUUUAAAAUCCUACUGAGACAGUUGUUGCAAUUGUUUAGCAGAUACUGUUUUCAAAAACUGCAUGUGAACCAAAAUCACUGUCUGCAUAUUUAAAAAACACUUUUCCCUAAAUAACAAGCUGCCAACUGUAGGAAGGAUAAUACUAGUAUCAGAGAAAUGAGUGGUGAGCUUUAUGUGGAAAAGAAACCCUGAGUUUAUUGACCCCCUUCAAAAUAUCAGUAUCAGACUUGCUGAUGCUGAGCAUCUGUAAUAACUCAAAACAAUGGAAGUUGCAGGUAGGCUGUGCACAGUUGGUUACACAAAUUUAAACAGUCUGAUUCUUGAAGGUGGUGUCAUCUGGGAGAUAGAUGAGGUGGUGGUGUGGAAACAUAAACUUGAAACACUUGUAAGGAGGGAAUUUAGGUGUCAUGAGGGAAGUUGUGGUUACAGAAAAGGCAUGGACUAAAGCUUCCUCUGCACUGGCUUCUGUAUUGGUUGGGGGAGAAGGAAGGUGGGGCUGCUUCCUAGGCUGCCAGUUUAGUGUGAGAAGACCAAUACCACAAUGGAACUGUUCCUUUCGAGGAAAACAUGUUUACCUGUUACCUGUUUGCUGUGCGAGGGGAAAUGUCAGAGGGAGGAGUUGGAUGCACAUUGGAACUUCUGCUUGGAGCAGUCACUUGAAAAUUAACCAUGCAGUAAUGUGUUAGCAGUGCAUUUGUGUGCAGCAAACAAGCACUCCUCCACAAAGGGGGAGGGAUCAUGAAUUGGUUGCCUAAGUUGUCUUUAAAGACAAAUUAUGUACCUAAGACACAAUCCACCUUUAAGCGUGGCUGUUAAACCUAAUUGUCAGGAAUGCUUUCUAAAGGAAGGAAUACAACGGUGGCAUGAUAACCAGCAAUUAAUAAAGCUACAGUUUCAGUAUUUUGGUACAUUCCAAAAGGAUUCAGUAACCACCCUGUAGUCUGCAGCCAGAAAUGACAGCAUUGGAUGCUAGCAAUCAACUUCCUUUAGAAAGUUGGAAGAAUUCCUACAGCUCAUGGAAUAUGCUAAUUUGUAAAUAACAUACCACAGAAAUGCAAAACACUGAGCAGUAGCAUCUAAAACUUUGGGGAGGUCUGAAAUGAGUAACCAUCUGACUGCAAAGAUGUAUACUAAUGGUCUGACUGCAGGCCAGGUGUGUAUUGGCUUGCUGAGUAUCUCAUCUGCUUUGGUUAUUGUUAGUGAGCAGUAACCAGCUACUUUGGCCAAAGCCUGCUCAUUCUCCACAAGUAACUGUGUAAAUCAGUCUGUUGGAUGUAUCAGAAGCUGCAGAAUGCUGUUACAGAAGAACUCGAUUGCUUUCAACAAAAUCGCCUAUUUUUGUUAAAUGUUGCUGAGAAAGGGUAGGUAUUUCUAUGUGCAAUGCUUUGUACAUGCUCUUUCUUGAAUAAAGAAGGAUGUGAAAAACC